rnacentral:rRNA from 1 species
UACGUAGGGGGCGAGCGUUGUCCGGAAUGAUUGGGCGUAAAGGGCGCGUAGGCGGCUUUACAAGUCUGGAGUGAAAGUCCUGUUUUCAAGGUAGGAAUUGCUUUGGAAACUGUAGAGCUUGAGUGCAGGAGAGGUUAUCGGAAUUCCCGGUGUAGCGGUGAAAUGCGUAGAGAUCGGGAGGAACACCAGUGGCGAAGGCGGGUAACUGGACUGCAACUGACGCUGAGGCGCGAAAGUGUGGGGAGCAAACAGGAUUAGAUACCCUGGUAGUCCCUGA